UACGUAGGGUGCAAGCGUUGUCCGGAAUUAUUGGGCGUAAAGAGCUCGUAGGCGGCUUGUCGCGUCGACUGUGAAAACCCGCAGCUCAACUGUGGGCUUGCAGCCGAUACGGGCAGGCUAGAGUUCGGUAGGGGAGACUGGAAUUCCUGGUGUAGCGGUGAAAUGCGCAGAUAUCAGGAGGAACACCGGUGGCGAAGGCGGAUCUCUGGGCCUUACCUGACGCUCAGGCGCGAAAGCUAGGGGAGCGAACAGG
rnacentral:rRNA from 1 species